rnacentral:lncRNA from 1 species
CAAGAAAAAUGCAAAAACACUACACCUAAAAGACAAGUGUUUUAACAAAAAACCGUGGUCAUAGACUCUAAAAGCGUGGUUGUAGAUAAAACCGUGGUCUUUUAGCAUUUUUUCAUGCUAAAAGACCACGGUUUUUUAGUAGCCUAGUCGUUUCAGUGUGGUGGUACUUAAUGUAUGACAUCGGUUUUAAAAAACACAUGUUAAAGAGGUCAAAUAGUGUAGUCUUAUUGAAUUAAUUUAAUUAAUAAUUAAAAAAUACUUUUUCAAAUCCCUAAUUAAUCCUAACAGUACACAAAAUUAACCGCGUCUGCUAUUUCACACCCGUCUCUGCCGCGACGCCGCGCGCCUCCUCUGCGCUGCCUGCGCGCGUCUGCUCUCCCUCCGCCGCCUGCCUGCGCGCCGCCUGCUUCGCUUGCUCCGCCUAGCUACUCCGCGCCGCCUGCUUCGCUUGCUCCGCCUAUUCCGCGCGCCGCCUGCUCCGCACGCCGCCUGCUUCGCCUGCUCCGCCUGCUCCGCUGCCUGCUGCGCCGUCUGCUUCGCCUGCUCCGCCGCCGCCUAAUUCGCCUGCUUCACCUGCUCCGCCGCCGCCUGCUUCACCUGCUCCGCCGCCGCCUGCUCCGCCCCCUACCUGCCUCAUUAUUAGGUAUUUUUUCCCGGCCCCCUUCCUAAUUCGUUCUUUAACUCCACUUUCCUCUCAUGUUACAAUUAUUAUUAGGAUUUAUCGGUGAAGAUAUAUGCAUGGUGGAAAGUGUAGCAAUCAGUAGGAAAGUUGGGUGUAGCUAAUUUUCCAAAAUGCAGCCCCCACCCACUAACUUUUUUAGUUGGCUUUUCUAUUGCCUACUCAGCUGCUUUUACAUUCCCUUGUUUUACUUUCAAUAAAAUUUCAGUAUUCUUAAAAAAUUCUCUCUCGAC